UCACUGAUUAUAACGGGAAACGGUUAUUGCUCAAAUCCACCAGAAUGCAGUAAGAUCUUGUACACUGAUGAUGAGCGAUUCAGAGACAAACUGCAGCUGGACCAUCAGACUGGAGAUCUGACCAUCAGCGACAUCAGGAUCCCAAUCUCUGGAGAUUAUCAGAUGAAGAUCACCGGCAGUAAAGAGACAAAACUGAAGAUCUCACCAUCACCAACUCCAAAAGCACUGACUCUGGAGUUUACAAACUGCAGAUCAAGAGCAGCAUUAAAGUCUCCUACAAGAAAUUCAACGUUCUUGUGUGGCUGAACACAUUGAGAUAUACAGCAGGAGAUUCUGUCACUCUACAAACUGAUGUUCCUGAGCUGAGGAGUGAUGGCAGGAUACUGUGGAAGUUUAGCGCUAAAGACUCUUUCAUAGCUGAAGUCAGCCGAGCCAGCCGUCAGACCACAUUAUAUGAAGGAGAUCUGACCAUCAGGAACAUCAGCAGAGCUCAUUCAGACGUCUAUACACUUCAAAUCACCAGCGGCAAAAAGAGCACAUGCUAGAGAUUCAUGCUUAUCGCCCACGAGAAGACUGAAUCUGAAACGGAGGGCGGUUCAGUCACGCCACACAACAAUACUGAAAUAAAAAGAUGAUCUGGUGCUGUGGACAGUCUCAUCGCUAGAGGAGAAAAUGAAGCACGUUCCUGUACAUAUGAUGGCUCUGAAGGGAAACUCAGAAACAGACUGAAGCUGGAUCAUCAGACUGGAUCUCUGACCAUCACAAACAGCACAACUGAACACACCGGAGUUUACAAACUUCUGAUC